rnacentral:rRNA from 1 species
AUUGAACGCUGGCGGCAUGCUUUACACAUGCAAGUCGAACGGUAACAGGGUGCUUGCACCGCUGACGAGUGGCGAACGGGUGAGUAAUGCGUCGGAACGUGCCGAGUAGUGGGGGAUAACGCAGCGAAAGUUGUGCUAAUACCGCAUACGUACUGAGGUAGAAAGUGGGGGACCUUCGGACCUCACGCUAUCAGAUGAGCCUAGGUUGGAUUAGCUAGUUGGUGAGGUAAAGGCUCACCAAGGCGACGAUCCGUAACUGGUCUGAGAGGAUGAUCAGUCACACUGGAACUGAGACACGGUCCAGACUCCUACGGGAGGCAGCAGUGGGGAAUAUUGGACAAUGGGCGAAAGCCUGAUCCAGCCAUGCCGCGUGUGUGAAGAAGGUCUUCGGAUUGUAAAGCACUUUAAGUUGGGAGGAAGGGCUGUAGGCUAAUAUCCUGCAGUUUUGACGUUACCGACAGAAUAAGCACCGGCUAACUUCGUGCCAGCAGCCGCCGUAAGAC